UACGUAGGGUGCGAGCGUUAAUCGGAAUUACUGGGCGUAAAGCGUGCGCAGGCGGUUGGUUAAGUCUGAUGUGAAAGCCCCGGGCUCAACCUGGGAAUGGCAUUGGAAACUGGCUAGCUGGAGUGUGGCAGAGGGGGGUGGAAUUCCGCGUGUAGCAGUGAAAUGCGUAGAGGUGCGGAGGAACACCGAUGGCGAAGGCAGCCCCCUGGGCCAACACUGACGCUCAGGCACGAAAGCGUGGGGAGCAAACAGG
rnacentral:rRNA from 1 species